rnacentral:tRNA from 2 species
GCCCCCUUAGCUCAGUAGGAUAGAGCACAGGUUUCCUAAACCUGGGGCCGCAUGUUCGAAUCAUGCAGGGGGCACCA